rnacentral:rRNA from 1 species
UUCGCCCUUAGAGUUUGAUCCUGGCUCAGAGCGAACGCUGGCGGCAGGCUUAACACAUGCAAGUCGAACGCAUCCUUCGGGAUGAGUGGCAGACGGGUGAGUAACACGUGGGAACGUGCCCUCCGGUCUGGGAUAACCCUGGGAAACUAGGGCUAAUACCGGAUACGUGCUUUGGCAGAAAGGUUUACUGCCGGAGGAUCGGCCCGCGUCUGAUUAGCUAGUUGGUGGGGUAACGGCCUACCAAGGCGACGAUCAGUAGCUGGUCUGAGAGGAUGAUCAGCCACACUGGGACUGAGACACGGCCCAGACUCCUACGGGAGGCAGCAGAGGGG